UGCACAAUUUCUCUUUACGUUCUUUCACAUUUAUAUGCAAAGAACAGACUGAUUCUGAAGUAUGCGAAUUACGACAGCAUGCAGAGAUUGCCACAAAGAAAGCUGUAAAUGCAUUUGAAUUGCUAAUGGCAGGGGGACGUUCUUUUCCUGACAAGAAACAGAAAAGUGCCGGAGUGAAAGAUGGGCUCACAAGAAAGGAUGAGUUGUACAACACCUUGAUCGACACCUUUUUUAAGCAACAUAAGCUGGAUAUUCCUAAACCAGUUGUAGAGACAGAGGGCAGCUAUGUCGUUCAAAUUUGACAUUCAAUAUGGUGUUAUGUAAUGCAUUAUGGUACAUUACAAACCAACAUAUGACAAUUAAUGAUGCUGCAUGUGACAGAGAGGCUGUUACUCCAAUUCCUGCUGUGUUUGAUGGUU